GCCUUCGUAGUACAGUGGUCAGUACACUCGGCGCGUAUUCGAGAGGUUCGUGGUUCGAGUCCCAGCGAGGGCA
rnacentral:tRNA from 1 species